rnacentral:snoRNA from 1 species
UUUCUUUCUUUCUUUCUUUUUUUUUUUUUUUUUAAAGUAAUCUCUACUAACUUGGGCUACCUGGCAGAAUGAACAAGGGCACACACUCCAUAGUGGGCUAUCCAGUUAGUUUGGUUCUAUGUUGCCCACAUU